UUACCGGUCAAACGCUCCUAAUGAAUCGAUAGCUCGGGUUUCCAGUCUGGAAUCAAUCAUUGGCCGCCGCGGCCAUGCCCUCGCGUCGAUUUGGGCGAUGGCACCGGCCGAGCAUGUUCCUGGUCGCGGAGAAGCUCCCGCCACGAUCCGUUCCUCACCGGCUCGCUACGAGGCGCCACCUCCCUGGUCGUCGGCGGCCUCCGCCCUGAUCCUUCCAUCGAUGGCUGCUCUGCCCCGAUCCGUACCUGCUCUUUUGAUUGUCUAGGCGAGUCAGACCUCUGCCUCGUCGCGCUCUGGGACCGGGCCUUUUCGCGCGCCUGGGUGCUGCAGCGACCGCCGGUCGACAGCCUCCUUCUGGCCCCUCCGAAGCGCGCUGGUUUUUGUGCCCAGAUCUUAAGAGUUCGUGAUGAAUCGGCGAUUCCCUUGAUGGCCAUGCUCGGAGACGGUGUUCCCUUGCCGGCCGGCUCUCACACGUCCUCCGGCAACGCGAGUCUGGCUCCAACUCGGGGAAGGAGAUGCACUGCCUGGCUUAGGCCUUUGACGCCGCUGAGCCUGGGCACCACGCCAUGGUUCUGAUGCGCCAAUGGCUGGACGAGAUGGGCAGCCACUGAAGUUUGCUUCACCGAUGCUUCUCCUCUUCAGUCACCUGAUUCAGUGAUGUGCUAGCUCUAUGUACUCGGCUCUGAUGCUGAGACAGGCGUCCUCACGCAAGCAAGCGCAGAUUUGGGAGACACCCACUCGACGGAUGAAAAGAUUCAGCUGAAAAUAGAAGAGGAUUUGGGGGAAAAAACAAGCUACUCCCCGUAUCAACUCUUUUUUCCUUCAUGCUGACAAACAAAGGAUGAUGAGACGUGGUUGCACGACCUCUUGUGGCCUUGUGGGCCUUUGCUAUUUUCUCUUAAUCCUUUCGAUCAUGUGCAGAUGAAGAUGGAAAAGAAUUUUCAGUGGUGUCCGACAUUCAGCAAUCUUAUAAAAGUGACUCUUGCUUCAUACAUGGUGUGAUGCGUAUUAGUCACCAGAACAAGGUCUGAUGCAAGGCAUUCUGUGACUCCCGUCAUUGACCUCUCAUGCAAACAUGAAGUCCUGUUAGAUCGACAUUGAAGGAACAUGGCAUGAUAUUUGAUGUCUACAUCUUCAUUUCCACACAAUAGAAUCACGGUGAUUAUUUUGAAGGAUUUUCUGCUCAUGGCGAACUAGAUGAAAACAUAUCAUUUAGCUGCAACAUCUUCUAUAUGGUGGGUUUUGAUUGGAAUUCGUCGAUGAAGGCCUCACUGGUUCCCAUGUCGGAGUGGUUGAUUGAACGGAUACCGUGAAUUUCAAAUUCUUUCUAGCAAUUUAUCCAACUUAAUCUGCUUCCUCUACACCUUGGCCCCGAGGGUUGUCAAGGCCUUUGUCAAGUGCGGUGAUGGUGAUGAUGGCGAUGCUUGGCUAUAUUGGUGCUGGCACACAUGUAUUGGGUGGACUAGCCUUAACACAGAGCAGCCGGAUUUCAAUCACCCAGUGAGUUUCCAUGGUGCCCCUUGACCAGGCUGCUGGAUUCCCCUGCGAUGGACUUGAUCUGGUGGAGGACUAGAGGUGGAGUGGGUCAUUCGGCUUUGGAGGUCCUGGGAAUUUUUCUUAGACCCAAUAGGCGUUGGCUUACAACAGGAUUUUUGUGGGACGCACCUCUGGCUGGGUGUUUUUUCUGUGUAGAACUGGGAUCAUAAGGGAAGAAUAGGGCCUGGAACCUAGAGGAGCUCGAUAGCAACAAAUCUCUCUCCCUUUCGGGCGGAUUGCUCUCGUUGCUGUCUUCGGCGUCUGUGCACAAGACUGUCCGCUCAUUUAAAUAUGCGUUGGAAUCUUCUUCUUGUGAGAUAUGCUUCACUCUCUAAUAAAGUUCAUCUAAAAUAGAUUUUAUACUCAGGUUUUUCUCUGCCGGUGCAACGCACGGGCACGUUUCCUAGUUGGGAUAAAAAGGAUUGCCUGAGAGAUGGUGCUGACGGUGGCAAUCCUGCGGCAAAGCGAGGCUAGGACCAGGAGCCUGGCCAUGAGGAUGACAGUCUUGCUCUUGCACAACGACACCACCUUCUUGAGAUUGCCUAUCUUCAUCUUCGAUGCGAAAUCAAGGACACUAACUUAGGAUGUGUGGUGCCUUAGGAUUGGCAUUAGAAGAUAAAUGAGUGCUAGAUCUUCUGCUUUCAAAAAAAGUGCUAGAUCUUCUGGUCAAGAUGAGAUAGUGUGGCUCAAGAGUAUACAAGUUUCAUAUUCCCAGGCCUUGUCCUGAAAACACAAUGGUGUGUAUUUGUAGCCAGAAACUAGGCGUGCAUCAUGCACGGAGAUGCACGGUGCAUGUAUGCUGCACUGUUUUUCACCAGCCGAAGGUCGUGAGAUCUAGUGAUUUAUUUGAAGCCAAUUGGCAGUA